rnacentral:rRNA from 1 species
UAGGGAAUCUUCCGCAAUGGACGCAAGUCUGACGGAGCAACGCCGCGUGAGUGAAGAAGGAUUUCGGUUCGUAAAACUCUGUUGUUAGAGAAGAACAGCGCAUAGAGUAACAGUUAUGCGUGUGACGGUAUCUAACCAGAAAGCCACGGCUAACUACGUGCCAGCAGCCGCGGCAAUACGUAGGUCCCGAGCGUUGUCCGGAUUUAUUGGGCGUAAAGCGAGCGCAGGCGGUUAGAUAAGUCUGAAGUUAAAGGCAGUGGCUCAACCAUUGUAGGCUUUGGAACCUGUUUAACUUGAGUGCAGAAGGGGAGAGUGGAUUUCCAUGUGUAGCGGUGAAAUGCGUAGAUAUAUGGAGGAACACCGGUGGCGAAAGCGGCUCUCUGGUCUGUAACUGACGCUGAGGCUCGAAAGCGUGGGGAGCGAACAGG